UUUGAAACCCGAAAUUGAAAAAAUUUAUCUGCAAAUUUGAGAUUGGGAAGCCGAAGCAGUGAAGCACAAGUCAGGUCCAUAGAAGAAGAGAUCAUGAGACUCUUAAUUCAUCUAAUUCCAUUCCUCUCCCUAUUUCGCGCCUUAUAUUCUUCUCUCUUCGCACUGACAACAUGGCGCAGAAGAAAAAAAAUACAAAAUUUGCUGACUUGGUUUCUGUCUUCUGUGGAAGGAAAUGAUGAAGUUGUCCUAUCAUGGAGUUUCUAUGGUCUUGCCAAUAACAAGGUUUUUCUGUGUUGAAAUGAGACUGAACAUAGUGGAAUAAAUACAAAUUUCAUGUGAAAAAUGCGGUACAAGUGUUUGGAAUUGCAGCAAGAUUUCUUUUUGAAAGCUUAAAUGUCAGGAAGCAAAGUGUUGCUAACGUAUAAGCGAAAGCGGCAAUCAAGAACAGAUCCUGUACAGGGACAUGAGUGCCAUAAUUCACUUUUUGUUGCUCCCGAUGAUACUUCUUUAAGCAAAUCACCAGACUUGCAAGUUCAUUUGAUUGAUAAGCGUUCAUCAGAACAUUAUAACAGAAAUUCUGCGGUAUGCCAUGUAUGUUUUGUGUGCUGUGUCGGGGGUAACCUGAAGCACUGUGGCAAAUGCCUUCAGUCGUAUCAUCUCCAAUGCCUAGAUAAGCCCCAUAAAGAAAUGAAACACACUGAAGUAUCUGGCACAAGACAAAUAUCAAUUAAAUCCUUUCCGACAAGUCUUGAUGAGGUUCCCACCCAAAGGGAUGCAUAUGGGAAUAAGUCUAGUGGCAAGAAAGUUGGCUCAUCUUCAAAUGCUAAUGCUGGAGCAUUGGUUGAUUAUAAUAAUGUUGGAGGGAGGUCAGUUUCUCAAUUGGUGAUGAAUUCCGCUGUAAUUACUGCUGAUUUUGUCAGACAAAAAUCAUCAUCAGCAGCAGCAGCAUUUGAAAGAAAAAGCAGCUCUGAAUGUGAUGGUAGCUCACCAAGAUUGAAUACAUCAAACUUAGAAGACACUGAUUCAUUCUCUAGAAAUAACUUAGAUAAAUUAGGUGGUGAUUCAGCUGCGCAAAACAAGUUGACCACCCCAUUGGUUACUUUCUGCCGAAGGAAUAAAAGAAAAAAGGAUAUGGAUGAGUCUAAUAUACAAAGGAAAUCACUGCCUGUGGAAAAUAGCUGCUCAUUGAUAACCAAAUUGAAUAAUUCUGUUUGUACUAAUACCAGUUCUUAUGAAGAAACUUCCCCUGAAAACUGCUCAGUAGAUCAUGAAGCAGAUUUGAAGCACUCCAGAGAGAUCUUUGAUUUUAGAUAUGCUCAUGCUGGAUCUGCUGCCGCUGGAACUAAAAUUUUGAUGCAUGAAGAAGAACAACUGCAUGAUGAGGAAAAAACAGGCAGUGCCGCCUUACAGCAGGCUGGAAAAGUUCGUGGCCAGAAUGCUCAAAGUGCAAUGGAUGUUGAAGUUCUUUGCACGGAUCAUUUAAGAAAAAGUAGUGAUACUAGAGACUCCUCUUCUGAAGCUGUAACUCUAUGUAAACCAGGAAAAACCCAUGCAUUGAUAAGAGAUGAAGCUCAAGAUUUAUCAAGUGAUGAUCUUAAAGCAACAGAAACCCCUCAUUUAGGCAGAUCACUUCCUUAUUUGGACUUCUCUGUUAUCCCCACUGAUUCAUGUGGCACUGUGGAAUGCAAUGUUGACUUAAACUUGAGUUCUCAGAAGCAACCUGACCUGGCUGCGCCAAAAACUAUGUGGGACUCCUUGGAUUAUGCUAGCAGAAAUAAUGCCACUGUAUUGCAUGAACUGUCUCCUCCAGAAAUGUCCGCUCUGUGAAUUGAAAGAGUAGAAACUCAUGCUUCAUGGUUACACAAAGAUGCAUUUGAAUGUUUAGAAGUUGGUGACAGCUGCAAAGAUGAUGAUAAAGUUAGUCCUCUAUUUUCCAAGGAAAUUACACCAAAAAACCAGUGUAUGCAGCUAUUUUCAGAAGAAAAAACCAGUGACAACACAGCCUGUGGCGGCGGCUUCUAUAGCUUCAGGACAAAGAAGAAAUUCUUCAGUUCGGAGGCAAAAAUAAUCAACCAGAACAAGAAUCUCUUCUGUUACUCGGUCUAUCCUUAUCAGAAAACCCUUUAACUGCAGGAUGUGCAACCAAUACCUGCUUCAGUGCAUUUCCCUUCUUGAACUCUGUCAUUGAAACCAGAGAAUUUAUCCGAGAUGCAGCACUCCAAUCUUCUCGAGCCAUUUAUCGUCAGUAUUGAGACACAAGCUUAUGCAUGAUAGUAUUGCAAGCCGAGCAAGAGCUUUCAAUGAAAGAAGUAAACAUGUUCUACAGAGAAUUGACGAAAUUCAGGGAAUGUUACCAUAAUGUCAAUAAUUAUGCUAUGUACUACUGGUGAAGUCUCUUGGCAACUGAGAUUUUGUUCAGAUUUAGAUUAUGUGUGUGUUUCAUUUAUGCAACUUAACUUUCGAGGUAACAAUUGUACCUAAAACGCUUCAAGUGACUUUCUUUGUAUUGUUAAUUCAGCCCAAAGUUCGUAGAAUCUAUGUGUUGCCU